rnacentral:misc_RNA from 1 species
AAGUCGUAACAAGGUUUCCGUAGGUGAACCUGCGGAAGGAUCAUUACAGAGUUCGUGCCCUUCGGGGUAGAUCUCCCACCCUUGUGUAUUUAUACUUUGUUGCUUUGGCAGGCCGUUGGCUUAGCCCAGCUACCGGCCCCGGCUGGUAAGCGCCUGCCAGAGGACCCCAAACUCUGAAUAUUUAUGUCGUCUGAGUACUAUAUAAUAGUUAAAACUUUCAACAACGGAUCUCUUGGUUCUG